rnacentral:rRNA from 1 species
CCUACGGGGGGCAGCAGUGGGGAAUAUUGCACAAUGGGGGAAACCCUGAUGCAGCGACGCCGCGUGAGUGAAGAAGUAUUUCGGUAUGUAAAGCUCUAUCAGCAGGGAAGAAAAUGACGGUACCUGACUAAGAAGCACCGGCUAACUACGUGCCAGCAGCCGCGGUAAUACGUAGGGGGCAAGCGUUAUCCGGAUUCACUGGGUGUAAAGGGCGCGUAGACGGCGUAACAAGUCAGAAGUGAAAACCCGGGGCUCAACCCUGGGAGUGCUUUUGAAACUGUUUGGCUAGAGUGCGGGAGAGGUAAGCGGAAUUCCUAGUGUAGGGGUGAAAUGCGUAGAUAUUAAGAGGAAAACCAGUGGCGAAGGCGGCUUACUGGAAUGUAACUGACGUUGAGGCUCGAAAGCGUGGGGAGCAAACAGGAUUAGAUACCCGAGUAGUC